rnacentral:rRNA from 1 species
GGGGAAUCUUGCGCAAUGGGCGAAAGCCUGACGCAGCGACGCCGCGUGGGUGAUGAAGGCCCUCGGGUUGUAAAGCCCUGUGGGGAGGAACGAACCGUUCGGGGGUGAAUACCCUCCGAGCCUGACGGUACCUCCUUAGCAAGCAUCGGCUAACUCUGUGCCAGCAGCCGCGGUAAGACAGAGGAUGCGAACGUUGCUCGGAAUUACUGGGCGUAAAGCGCGCGCAGGUUGCCUUGUAAGUCGUGUGUGAAAUCCCUCUGCUCAACGGAGGAAGUGCACGGGAUACUGCAAGGCUGGAGUACAGAAGAGGACAGCGGAAUUCCCGGUGUAGAGGUGAAAUUCGUAGAUAUCGGGAGGAACACCAGUGGCGAAGGCGGCUGUCUGGGCUGAUACUGACACUGAGGCGCGAAAGCGUGGGAAGCAAAC